AUUGAACGCUGGCGGCAGGCCUAACACAUGCAAGUCGAGCGAGCGGCGGACGGGUGAGUAAUGUAUGGGGACUGCGAGAUAGAGGGGGAUAACUAAUGGAAACGGUGGCUAAUACCGCAUCCUAUCGGCUAACCCAUAUUGGAUUAGCUAGUCGGUGGGGUAAAGGCUCACCUAGGCGACGAUCUCUAGCUGGUAUGAUAGGAUGAUCAGCCACACUGGGACUUAGACACGGCCCAGACUCCUACGGAUGCAGCAGUGGGGAAUAUUGCACAAUGGGCGCAAGCCUGCUGCAGCCAUUCCGCUUGUAUGAAGAAGGCCUUAGGGUUGUAAAGUACUUUCAGCGGGGAGGCGUUACCCGCAGAAGAAGCACCGGCUAACUCCGUGCCAGCAGCCGCGGUAAUAC
rnacentral:rRNA from 1 species